rnacentral:rRNA from 1 species
CCGUAGACCCGGAAGGGCGCGGGCCUUAGUGGCGGACGGGUGAGUAACGCGUGGGGAACCUGCCCCUACCGGGGGAUAACACCUGGAAACAGGUGCUAAUACCGCAUAACAGAAGGGGACGCAUGUUCCUUUCUUGAAAACUCCGGUGGUACGGGAUGGACCCGCGUCUGAUUAGCUGGUUGGCGGGGUAACGGCCCACCAAGGCGACGAUCAGUAGCCGGCCUGAGAGGGCGGACGGCCACAUUGGGACUGAGACACGGCCCAAACUCCUACGGGAGGCAGCAG